GUGAUGGUGGUGGAGGUGGGUGGUGAGAGGUGGUGGAGACGGCCCUGCUAAUUUCUAUAUACUCUACACUUCAAAAGGAAAUCAUGACAAGAAAUCUCCAUGUGUUGGUUAUGUCCUGCUGAUAUUUUACCAUCUUUAUGACGGAAAGCAAAGGCUGAAAAAGGAAACAGAUAAUAAUAAGGACACUGCUGACUCUAGCAGAAAGAUAUGUUUCAUUGCCAGCGUCAACAGCUGCACUACAGUGAGUGUGUUGGUUGUAUUAAUUUUCUUAACUAGCAGCCAUUACCUGUUGUGAACCCACCUAUUACUAGAUGAAACCCUGGCAGUCCAAGAACUUAGAGGAGGAGAGAAUAUGAAACACAACCCAGGAGAUAGAAAAAGUGUGGCACCUGUGGCAUACAUGGGCAUAACAAGACUACUAGUCAGGGUGGGAAACAACUAAGGCAAGAAGAGGUUUUCAAGUUGCAAGUGCAAUUGGUGGGACUAACGGUGAUCUUUGUAGAGGUUCAACUGGAUCAGAUGCUACUUCUACUAUCACAGCUGUGUCGAGAGGAGGCCGUGGCAAAGCUACACCAAUAACUGAAGGUAUUCUUAUGAACUAACUUUCAUAUUGUCAAAUUCGGAAACUUGGAUUCUUGACCAAAGUUGGUAUUUAUCUU